UGUAAAUAAGUGUAUGAUGCACAUAAAUUUUUGAAAUUUAAAGUAAAGUUUAAUCCUUUAAUUUACAG
rnacentral:tRNA from 1 species